ACACCGGCGGCCCGAGUGGUGAUCGUGAUUAUUGGGUCUAAAGGGUCCGUAGCCCGGUUUGGUCAGUCCUCCGGGUAAAUCUGACAGCUCAACUGUUAGGCUUUCGGGGGAUACUGCCAGACUUGGAACCGGGAGAGGUAAGAGGUACUACAGGGGUAGGAGUGAAAUCUUGUAAUCCCUGUGGGACCACCUGUGGCGAAGGCGUCUUACCAGAACGGGUUCGACGGUGAGGGACGAAAGCUGGGGGCAC
rnacentral:rRNA from 1 species